rnacentral:rRNA from 1 species
GACGUAGGGCGCGAGCGUUGUCCGGAUUUAUUGGGCGUAAAGAGCGUGUAGGCGGCCAGGUAGGUCUGCUGUGAAAACUCGAGGCUCAACCUCGAGACGUCGGCGGAAACCAUCUGGCUAGAGUCCGGAAGAGGAGAGUGGAAUUCCUGGUGUAGCGGUGGAAUGCGCAGAUAUCAGGAAGAACACCCGUGGCGAAGGCGGCUCUCUGGGACGGUACUGACGCUGAGACGCGAAAGCGUGGGGAGCGAACAGG